CCUACGGGUGGCAGCAGUGAGGAAUAUUGGUCAAUGGGCGCUAGCCUGAACCAGCCAAGUCGCGUGCAGGAUGACUGCCCUAUGGGUUGUAAACUUCUUUUAUAGGGGAAUAAAGUUCAGUACGUGUACUUCUUUGCAUGUACCUUAUGAAUACGGAUCGGCUAACUCCGUGCCAGCAGCCGCGGUAAUACGGAGGAUUCGAGCGUUAUCCGGAUUUAUUGGGUUUAAAGGGAGCGUAGGCGGGGGGUUAAGUCAGGUGGUAAAGUUUGCGGCUAAACCGUAAGAUUGCAGUUGAUACUGGUAGACUAGAGUACAGAAGAGGUAGGCGGAAUUAGUGGUGUAGCGGUGAAAUGCUUAGAUAUUACUAAGAACUCCGAUUGCGAAGGCAGCUUGCUAAACUGCAACUGACGCUGAUGCACGAAAGCGUGGGUAGCAAACAGGAUUAGAUACCCGAGUAGUC
rnacentral:rRNA from 1 species